rfam:Lactobacillus reuteri DSM 20016, complete genome.
CAACAACUACAACCGCACGUUAUUAAGUCUAAAGCUUAUUUAGCUGCUUAGUACGGCGAGUCUGAGAUAUUAA